UGCAGUCGAGCGGCAGCACGGGGAGCUUGCUCCCUGGUGGCGAGCGGCGGACGGGUGAGUAAUGCAUAGGAAUCUGCCCGGUAGUGGGGGAUAACGUGGGGAAACCCACGCUAAUACCGCAUACGUCCUACGGGAGAAAGCGGAGGAUCUUCGGACUUCGCGCUAUCGGAUGAGCCUAUGUCGGAUUAGCUAGUUGGUAAGGUAACGGCUUACCAAGGCAACGAUCCGUAGCUGGUCUGAGAGGAUGAUCAGCCACACUGGGACUGAGACACGGCCCAGACUCCUACGGGAGGCAGCAGUGGGGAAUAUUGGACAAUGGGCGAAAGCCUGAUCCAGCCAUGCCGCGUGUGUGAAGAAGGCUUUCGGGUUGUAAAGCACUUUCAGCGAGGAAGAAAGCCUCUGGGUUAAUACCCCAGAGGAAGGACAUCACUCGCAGAAGAAGCACCGGCUAACUCCGUGCCAGCAGCCGCGGUAAUACGGAGGGUGCGAGCGUUAAUCGGAAUUACUGGGCGUAAAGCGCGCGUAGGUGGCUUGGCACGCCGGUUGUGAAAGCCCCGGGCUCAACCUGGGAACUGCAUCCGGAACGGCCAGGCUAGAGUGCAGGAGAGGAAGGUAGAAUUCCCGGUGUAGCGGUGAAAUGCGUAGAGAUCGGGAGGAAUACCAGUGGCGAAGGCGGCCUUCUGGCCUGACACUGACACUGAGGUGCGAAAGCGUGGGUAGCAAACAGGAUUAGAUACCCUGGUAGUCCACGCCGUAAACGAUGUCGACUAGCCGUUGGGACCUUUAAGGACUUAGUGGCGCAGUUAACGCGAUAAGUCGACCGCCUGGGGAGUACGGGCCGCAAGGUUAAAACUCAAAUGAAUUGACGGGGCCCGCACAAGCGGUGGAGCAUGUGGUUUAAUUCGAUGCAACGC
rnacentral:rRNA from 1 species